AGGGUGACGGGGUUACGAAAGGGACUCCCCGCAGCGCCAACUUGGAUCCUGCCACCAGUUGAGCGGUGAGAGGACAUGACUCGGCACUGUGACCACUCGGUCCAGGGGAUGCCUGCUGGGAAUGUAGAUUGAGGCCAGCUACAUUUGUAGGGCCACAGAUGAAGCCAGGCGUGGCUUACGACGUAGGUGCAUGUGGCCCAUCAGAUGCAGGCACGUGUGGGCCGUGGUGAGCGGUUGGCUCUGUAUGUGGGCGAUCAGGUUUGACAUGGCUUGAAAACGCGCUUCUGGCAGGAAUGCCCUGGCCCGCCUGGAGUCGAGAACCGCACAGAUGAACUCUAUGCGUUGAACCGGUGCUAAUGUGGAUUUUUCUGUGUUUAUUAGGAGACCCAAGUCGCUGCAGGUGGAGCGCACAAGAUCGAGGCUCCUCUGGACCUCCUCUUAAGACCUGCGCUUGUUGAGCCGGUUGUCGAGAUAUGGGACGAUCUGAACCCCUCGACACCUCAGGUCCCUGCUGAGGCUGCCACUGCCUAGGAGGUGGGGAGGCCGGAAUGGCUGCCUAAACGACUGAGGCGUGUGCAUCCCCAGGAGCGGAGGGUUGCCUUUGUGUCCUAGAAGCACAAGGCUAAACAGAUGAAGAAAAACCACUGACCACUUGCGAAGCAAGGGACAGAGGCACUCCGAUUAACCACCAUGGGCGGUAAGAAGGAACUGAGAAGGCGCAGGGCUGGCGGCACUCCAGAGGGCACCACAGCUGGCCCUACAGGUACCGCUAAGGCAAAAGUCUCCAACGGCUGCGCACACGGGCGCGCGCACACCUACCAUGGAAUGGACAUUAGCAAGCACUCAAAGAAGAAUAUGUGGAUUUGCAUACACCCAUCCCUGCUACUGAAUUAUGGUUAUAUGUCUAAUUGAGUGCUGUUGUGUUACAGUAAUUUAACAAUGGAGCAAAAUGUUAAUGUUAGUGAAAAACUAACUAACUAAUGUUAAUGUUAGUAAAACAAGAAAAUGUAUUCUGCAUACAAUAUUGUUUUCAGGGACUGACAUUUUAUAUUAGCUUCAAAACUAUUUUGUGGGAUGUUAAAAUGGAAGCACAAAGCAUUUACUAAAAGUGGAAUUUCAAAACUAUCAGGUUUUCACAGCUAGCUUCUAAAUCUGCAUUCCCCAAGUUUUCUAAGCAUAAUCCUGCAUUUGAGCAUGCAGGUAGGCAGGUGGACAGCUAACUAUUCAGCCUGCAUGCACACAAAUGCCUACUGGCAUAUGUAAUUAACUAUAUGCACAAAAGAUAUGAAAUUUGGGAAUCUGGAAUGAAAUCAUAGCUAUAUGGUAGUCUAAAAC